AAUCAUCUUUCGGGACUGAUUUGAAAGGAAGAAAAUACUCAUGCUGA
rnacentral:snoRNA from 1 species